rnacentral:sRNA from 12 species
CCGUUUUGCUUAAAACAUGAUUAUCUCGGUGCAGAUAGGUUUUUCAGCCUUGCCGAGACACGCGAGAAAACGAGAUAGGCAUAAUCGGGAUACCGGGUAUGCUAAUAUCUUUUGCUGUACUGUGAGGUACGGCAGGGAGACGGAAACCGUCAACAAUGCUUGCGUGGUGUAUCAUCAUAGAGAAGCCAAGGGCAGAGGACUUGUGGCUGUGAAUAAUAGACGCCUACGGUGUAGGAAUAAUCCGUUGAAGUUCGCGGAAUGAGAGACCACGGACAAAUCACGGAAAAUCUCAAACUAAGCAGUGUGCCUUGAAGCCGGAGAAAUCCGGAUAUAACACAAGUAACUCGUUAAAGUAGCGGUACGGCACGAUUUCAUUCUAACAAUUGUUGAGCACAACAACAUUCCGAAAGAACCGUGAAAUUUGCGGGUAUCAAUCCCGCGUGUGCUUGAAAGCGGCAAGAAGCCUUAGGGUCGCUCCCAAAGGCUCGGACUUGUCGUCACAGUGGCAGAAUAUGGCUGUAUGUAUGGUGAAUAAAGAGAAAUCUUAAUUAUGUUUUAGUUUUUGG